rnacentral:rRNA from 1 species
GACGAACGCUGGCGGCGUGCCUAAUACAUGCAAGUCGAGCGAAUCAGAUGGGAGCUUGCUCCCGGAUGAUUAGCGGCGGACGGGUGAGUAACACGUGGGCAACCUGCCCGUAAGAUUGGGAUAACUCCGGGAAACCGGUGCUAAUACCGAAUAGUUUCUGACACCUCAUGGUGUCAGAGGGAAAGUUGGCUUUUAGCUAACACUUACGGAUGGGCCCGCGGCGCAUUAGCUAGUUGGUGAGGUAACGGCUCACCAAGGCGACGAUGCGUAGCCGACCUGAGAGGGUGAUCGGCCACACUGGGACUGAGACACGGCCCAGACUCCUACGGGAGGCAGCAGUAGGGAAUCUUCCGCAAUGGACGAAAGUCUGACGGAGCAACGCCGCGUGAGCGAAGAAGGCCUUCGGGUCGUAAAGCUCUGUUGUCAGGGAAGAACAAGUGCCAUUCGAAUAGGUUGGCACCUUGACGGUACCUGACCAGAAAGCCACGGCUAACUACGUGCCAGCAGCCGCAGUAA